rnacentral:lncRNA from 1 species
AAAGUGGUUGCUUGGUCUCCUCAAGAGUUGUGGCUCUUCUUGGUAUAAGCUAUCCACAAUCUUUUUCUCAGGAAUCGUUGCUGACAAAAGCUAUAGAAACAGACAGUUCAAGACAUUCUUCUCACCUACUUGAAAACUCGAAAACAAGUCAUUUAUAGAAAAGAAAAUCAACGAACUUGAAAACAACCUACUUCUCACCUACUUUGAUGACACCACUCGCAAUAAUUUCUCUGUACAAGUCAUUGCCUUCACAGGUUCGUUUCCCACACCAGUAAACACAGAGAAAUCAUCUGUUCACCACAAGAAAUACCCAUUAAUAAAAUAAAACAACUGCCCACAAUGUGUAAACAAACUCUGAAAGUACAUACCCUGAGCUAUGGAGCUAUGGAUGUAUGUCUUACCGGCAAGUCAUGUGGUUGCAACAGCUAUUCUCUGACUGACUACUACUGAAUGUAGUUAUACCGAUUGUACUGAGUACUACUAAGUAUUACUAGUACUACUACUAAGUAUUACUAGUACUACUACUAAGUUAAUUAUAUCGAGUUCGACUAAGUUCUACUUAUUAUACUAUAAAAUACUAGGUACUACUGAGUUAGUUAUACCAAACUCGACUGAGUUAGUAAUACCGAGUUAUACUGGAUCCAGAUCUGAAGAAAACAAAUAAAAAACACGAAACAUACUUUGCAAAGGGGGAACAAGAACAAUAAAAUCAUUAAAUCAUUAAAAAAAACACAUCUAUAGAGAACAAGAAGAACCCUAAUCAUACAAAACCCAGAAUCUUAAUUUACAGCCCUAAAUCGAAAACAUGAGGACAAUAAAAACUCGGGAAGAGAAAGAAUAGCCAUUGAUGUGAAGCGAGAGAAGAAGAAGAUUUGAAGUGCAUAUGUUGAACCAUCGCCGUUUUGAACAGAUCUAAAGCGCGUGAAGAGGAAUAAUCGCCAUU